rnacentral:rRNA from 1 species
CCUACGGGAGGCAGCAGUAGGGAAUAUUGCGCAAUGGGCGAAAGCCUGACGCAGCAACGCCGCGUGAGGGAUGAAGGUCUUCGGAUCGUAAACCUCUGUCAGCAGGGAAGAACGGUCACUGGGCUAAUCAGCAUUGCAUUGACGGUACCUGCAGAGGAAGCACCGGCUAACUCCGUGCCAGCAGCCGCGGUAAUACGGAGGGUGCGAGCGUUAAUCGGAAUUACUGGGCGUAAAGCGCUCGUAGGCGGGAUGUCAAGUCAAGGGUGAAAUCCCCGGGCUCAACUUGGGAACUGCCUUUGAAACCGGGAAACUGGAGUGUGGGAGAGGAUAGUGGAAUUCCAGGUGUAGGAGUGAAAUCCGUAGAUAUAUGGAGGAACAUCAGUGGCGAAGGCGACUAUCUGGAACAUAACUGACGCUGAGGAGCGAAAGCGUGGGUAGCAAACAGGAUUAGAUACCCGGGUAGUC